UUUUGACUUCACACCAUCUUGAGCACACCUGAAGCCGUUCUGUUUCAGAAGCUAAGCAGGGGCAGAUCUGGUCAGUAUUUGGAUGGGAAGCCCCCAGGAUCUCCAGAGAGGGCUAGGA
rnacentral:rRNA from 1 species